rnacentral:rRNA from 1 species
AACCCCAACAGCUAGUCCAACCCUCAAUAAACAACAACCGAUAUCCAUAACCCCUAACACCCCUAAAACAUAAAACAAACCAUUUUUCCCCUUAAGUACGGGAGACGGAAAAAGACUAAAG